rnacentral:rRNA from 1 species
UACAGAGGGUGCGAGCGUUAAUCGGAAUUACUGGGCGUAAAGCGUGCGUAGACGGCUAUCUAAGUCGGGUGUGAAAGCCCCGGGCUCAACCUGGGAAUUGCAUUCGAGACUGAAUAGCUAGGGUACGGUAGAGGGAAGUGGAAUUUCCGGUGUAGCGGUGAAAUGCGUAGAUAUCGGAAGGAACGCCGGUGGCGAAAGCGACGUGCUGGACCUUUUCUGACGCUGAGGCGCGAAAGCCAGGGGAGCAAACGGG